GGUCACAAAUCAAGAAGGUUGCCGGUUCGAAUCCUUGUGCAGUGGAAAUUCCUAGCCAAAGGCCUCAGAAGCUGAAGCUUAUGUUAGCUUAAGUCAAGAAUCACGCGGCCAUCUCUAGAGCUCGGUUUCUGCAGUCGUUUGGGAAGCGCUGGCCAAAAAGUUUGACAAGCGCAACAGAGGGGGACGAGGGGCAGAGCAGCAAAAGCUGCGACACCACAAAACCCAAAGCGAGACCAACCUUGAGGCAGCCGCCAUGUGCUAAAAAUAACAAUCAGCAAUGUCCCCAAGGAUUUGAAAUGGAGCAGCAGCCGGGCAGCCGGGCAGAGCGUCAGACUCUGUCGCUCCUGGAAUAAUAUGAAUUACAAUGUGCUUGGCAGCGCGUCAUCAUCCGCUUGGCCAGGAAUUGCACGGAUGAAGUUUCCCCCUUCAGGCAAUUGGUCAAGUAUAGAAUCAUAUCUCGAGCAUAUCUUCUUCCUUGAUAGAAUUUAUCCAUUAACCCGCAUAAUUCGCAUUAUAGAUUUAUGCUUUGCCCGGAACAUUUUGGGCAGCCGGAAACGGAAAUGGACUGAAAGCUUCCUUUUGCUGCAUUCCAGUCCAAAGCCGACGAAUUGAGUUGCAAUCGAAUCACAAUGUGCAUUUGACAGCCAAAAAGAGCCUUUGGCCUAUAAUCAGGAGCAAGCGCUGAUAAUUGCACGGUCAAUGAACCUGACUGGCGGUUGGAUAGGGGUUGUGGGGGGGAGGGUAAUUAAGCUCCCCACACCCUUCCCACUGCUGCUAUGUGAUCCAAUAGGGCGUGAAAUUUGAAAGCUUUGCGUGGCAAAUUCAUGUGUGCAAAAUUGCAGAGCUGUGCAGAAAGAAGAGGAAGCUGGUCGGUCAAGGGGUUGUGGAUGAUGAGAAGUAGGAAGGGGGAGGGGAGGGGGGAGGGGGGCUAAUAAAACUCAUUGCAUGCCACGUUGCACAUUUUCAUAGGUAUUUCGUGUCCAUUCGUUCGCCCCGCUUGCGUUUGACCCCUGGGUUCAGCUUGUGGCUCACGUUUAUGGCAAAAAUUUCAUUUCCUGCCAAACCAAAAAAUGAUUUACAUAAAAAUGAGAUUUGGCCCCAAAAACAGGUAAAUGUUGUAAAUUUUAAAAAUCAGAAUUUGAGAAAAAACCUUUACGGCUAUAUACAUUUUCUUCUUUCGAGUGGAAGAAAAUAAUUUUCUAUAUACAUAUCAAUUAAUCUUUUAUCUAAAAAAAUGUUAAGGUUAAUAAACAUAAAUAAA